rnacentral:rRNA from 1 species
UGCAAGUCGAGCGGACAGAAGGGAGCUUGCUCCCGGAUGUUAGCGGCGGACGGGUGAGUAACACGUGGGUAACCUGCCUGUAAGACUGGGAUAACUCCGGGAAACCGGAGCUAAUACCGGAUAGUUCCUUGAACCGCAUGGUUCAAGGAUGAAAGACGGUUUCGGCUGUCACUUACAGAUGGACCCGCGGCGCAUUAGCUAGUUGGUGGGGUAAUGGCUCACCAAGGCGACGAUGCGUAGCCAACCUGAGAGGGUGAUCGGCCACACUGGGACUGAGACACGGCCCAGACUCCUACGGGAGGCAGCAGUAGGGAAUCUUCCGCAAUGGACGAAAGUCUGACGGAGCAACGCCGCGUGAGUGAUGAAGGUUUUCGGAUCGUAAAGCUCUGUUGUUAGGGAAGAACAAGUGCGAGAGUAACUGCUCGCACCUUGACGGUACCUAACCAGAAAGCCACGGCUAACUACGUGCCAGCAGCCGCGGUAAUACGUAGGUGGCAAGCGUUGUCCGGAAUUAUUGGGCGUAAAGGGCUCGCAGGCGGUUUCUUAAGUCUGAUGUGAAAGCCCCCGGCUCAACCGGGGAGGGUCAUUGGAAACUGGGAAACUUGAGUGCAGAAGAGGAGAGUGGAAUUCCACGUGUAGCGGUGAAAUGCGUAGAGAUGUGGAGGAACACCAGUGGCGAAGGCGACUCUCUGGUCUGUAACUGACGCUGAGGAGCGAAAGCGUGGGGAGCGAACAGGAUUAGAUACCCUGGUAGUCCACGCCGUAAACGAUGAGUGCUAAGUGUUAGGGGGUUUCCGCCCCUUAGUGCUGCAGCUAACGCAUUAAGCACUCCGCCUGGGGAGUACGGUCGCAAGACUGAAACUCAAAGGAAUUGACGGGGGCCCGCACAAGCGGUGGAGCAUGUGGUUUAAUUCGAAGCAACGCGAAGAACCUUACCAGGUCUUGACAUCCUCUGACAACCCUAGAGAUAGGGCUUUCCCUUCGGGGACAGAGUGACAGGUGGUGCAUGGUUGUCGUCAGCUCGUGUCCUGAGAUGUUUGGGUUAAGUCCCGCAACGAGCGCAACCCUUGAUCUUAGUUGCCAGCAUUCAGUUGGGCACUCUAAGGUGACUGCCGGUGACAAACCGGAGAAAGGGGGGGGAUGAAGUCCAAUCAUCCUGGCCCCUUUUAACUGGGGGUAACACCUGGUUCAAUGGGACAGAAAAAAGGGUGGCGAAAACGCCAGGGUUAGCCAACCCC